GCAAGGAAUCUUGCGCAAUGGGCGAAAGCCUGACGCAGCGACGCCGCGUGGGGGAAGAAGACCUUCGGGUUGUAAACCCCUUUUGUGAGGGACGAAUAAUGACGGUACCUCAUGAAUAAGUCUCGGCUAACUACGUGCCAGCAGCCGCGGUAAUACGUAGGAGGCAAGCGUUAUCCGGAUUUAUUGGGCGUAAAGAGCGCGUAGGCGGCUUAACAAGUCGGAUGUGAAAUCUCCCGGCUUAACUGGGAGGGGUCAUCCGAUACUGUUGAGCUAGAGGGCAGCAGAAGGAGAUGGAAUUCCCGGUGUAGUGGUGAAAUGCGUAGAUAUCGGGAGGAACACCAGUGGCGAAAGCGGUCUCCUAGGCUGUUACUGACGCUGAGGCGCGAAAGCGUGGGGAGCGAACAGGAUUAGAAACCCCAGUAGUCC
rnacentral:rRNA from 1 species